rnacentral:rRNA from 1 species
AACGAACGCUGGCGGCGUGCCUAACACAUGCAAGUCGAACGGAAUUUGAGAGCUUGCUCUUAAAUUUAGUGGCGCACGGGUGAGUAACGCGUAGAUAAUCUGCCUGAUGAUCUGGGAUAACAGUUCGAAAGGACUGCUAAUACCGGAUAAGCCCACGGGUUCUUUGGAAUCUGCGGGAAAAGGGGGGGACCUUUUGGCCUCCUGUCAUCAGAUGAGUCGGCGUACCAUUAGGUAGUUGGUAGGGUAAAGGCCUACCAAGGCUACGAUGGUUAGCUGGUCUGAGAGGAUGAUCAGCAACACUGGAACUGAGACACGGUCCAGACUCCUACGGGAGGCAGCAGUGGGGAAUUUUGCGCAAUGGGCGAAAGCCUGACGCAGCAACGCCGCGUGAGUGAUGAAGGCUUUCGGGUCGUAAAGCUCUGUCAGGGGGAAAGAAAUGUAUUGUGGCUAAUAUCCGCGAUACUUGACGGUACCCCCAAAGGAAGCACCGGCUAACUCCGUGCCAGCCGCCGCAGUAACAC